AAAAUCUUCCUUCUAAAAAACUAGGCUAUUAUAGCCCAAAACAAUUUUCAUUAUCUUUGUAAAGGUACAAUUAUGUGCCAAGAAAACAAUAUAAACCUCCCAAUACAAAAAUAAGCAGGGUAUCUGUGUUGAUUCUUGUGGGAUGACCAUGAGUGACCAAAGAAACAUUUAAGUAGGC